AGUGAACGCUGGCGGUAGGCCUAACACAUGCAAGUCGAACGGUAACAGGUCUUCGGAUGCUGACGAGUGGCGAACGGGUGAGUAAUACAUCGGAACGUGCCUAGUAGUGGGGGAUAACUACUCGAAAGAGUGGCUAAUACCGCAUGAGAUCUACGGAUGAAAGCAGGGGAUCGCAAGACCUUGUGCUACUAGAGCGGCCGAUGGCAGCUUAGGUAGUUGGUGGGAUACAAGCUUACAAAGCCGACGAUCUGUAGCUGGUCUGAGAGGACGAGCACCCAUACUGGAACUGAGACGCGGUCCAGACUACUACGGGAGGCAGCAGUGGGGAAUCUUGGACAUUGGGCGAAGGCCUGAUCCAGCAAUGCGGCGUGCAGGAUGGAGGCCUUCGGGUUUUAAACUGCUUUUGUACGGAACGAAAAGCCCAGGGUUAAUACCCUGGGGUCAUGACGGUACCGUAAGAAUAAGCACCGGCUAACUACGUGCCAGACGCCGCCGUAA
rnacentral:rRNA from 1 species